rnacentral:sRNA from 1 species
GCCAGGCAUGGUGGUGCAUGCCUGUAAUCCCAGCGGCUGGGGAGGCUGAGGCAGGAGGAUCGUAAGUUCAAAGCCAGCCUCAG